rnacentral:rRNA from 1 species
UCGGGAAUUUUGCGCAAUGGGCGAAAGCCUGACGCAGCAACGCCGCGUGAGGGAUGACGGCCUUCGGGUUGUAAACCUCUUUUAUCAGGGAAGAUAAUGACGGUACCUGAUGAAUAAGUCACGGCUAACUACGUGCCAGCAGCCGCGGUAAUACGUAGGUGACAAGCGUUGUCCGGAUUUACUGGGCGUAAAGAGUGCGUAGGCGGUUUUCUAAGUUUGGUGUGAAAUCUCCCGGCUCAACCGGGAGGGUGCGCCGAAAACUGGGGAACUGGAGUGCAGGAGAGGUAAGCGGAAUUCCUGGUGUAGCGGUGAAAUGCGUAGAUAUCAGGAGGAACACCUGUGGUGUAGACGGCUUACUGGACUGCAACUGACGCUGAGGCACGAAAGCGUGGGUAGCAAACAG